AGAGUUUGAUCCUGGCUCAGGAUGAAUGCUGGCGGCGUGGAUAAGGCAUGCAAGUCGAGUGGGUUUAGACCCACGGCAGACGAGGUAGUAACACGUAGGAAUCUACCCUAGAGUCGAGCAUAUUCCAUCGAAAGAUGGCGCAAUUCUCGAUAGUCACUAAGGUGUAAAGGAGCAAUUCGCUCUAGGAGGAGCCUGCGUAAUAUCAGCUAGUUGGUGAGGUAAUGGCUCACCAAGGCUAUGACGUUUAGGGGAGCUGAGAGGCUGACCCCCACCGAUGGAACUGAGAUACGGUCCUUACUCCUACGGGAGGCCGCAGUCGAGAAUCUUCCGCAAUGGACGAAAGUCUGACAGAGCGACGCCGCGUGGUGGAUGAAGUCCUUCGGGACGUAAACACCUUUUAUGAGGGAUGAAGUUUUGACAGUACCUCAUG
rnacentral:rRNA from 1 species